GCUGCUCAUUUUGGCAGCAUAUACAAACCUAAUUGGAAUGAUAUGGAGAAGAAUUGCAUGGUCCUUGUGUAAAUAUGACAAGCAAAUUCUAGAAGUGUUCCAUACUUUA